rnacentral:rRNA from 1 species
UACGGGGGGGGUAAGCGUUGUUCGGAAUUACUGGGCGUAAAGGGCUCGUAGGCGGCCAACUAAGUCAAACGUGAAAUCCCUCAGCUUAACUGGGGAACUGCGUCUGAUACUGGAUGGCUUGGAUUCGGGAGAGGAAUGCGGAAUUCCAGGUGUAGCGGUGAAAUGCGUAGAGCUCGGGAAGAACAUCGGUGGCGAAAGCGCUCUACUGGACUGCAACUGACACUCAGGGACGAAAGCUAGGGGAGCGAAUGGG